UGAGCUUUUGCAGUCUCUGAUCAUUUAAACUCGCUAAUAGUAAAUGCUUCAGUUUCCAGCUUUUAAAAAAACUUUUUUAAAACCUUGUCAUUUAGAAGUUAGGCUCUAUAUCAUUCAUUAAAAGCAAUUUCUGCUAAAGUAAACAACAUUUUUUUAAAAUAUAUUUAUUUUUUUUAAUGGAGAAAAGGGUCUGGCAAAUCUGUUUUUUUUUUUUAUCAAAGUGCAUGUCUGUGUAGAACUGGGACCAAUUGCUCAUUGGUUGUUAAGUAGGACUCCCUCUGCUUUAUUGGUUAAUAGAAACACACCUCAAGCGAUGAAAUAUUAUUGUUCAGCAGAGGAGCAUCCCUUUAACAAAUCAAAAAACUGUACUACAUUUUAAAGGCAACAGAUAGGAAAUAACUCACUAGUGUAUGAAAUAAAUCAUGCCCAGUGCCGCCCUGCCAUUUUCUCUGAUCACAGACAUCACAGACAGUGAGUUUAAAUAAAUGUAGAUGUGAACGGUUUACCCAAUCACUUGGUUUGUGGGACGCUCUCGUCACGUGACGUCACGUCCUCUCAGUGUUGCCUUUAUAAGCGCGGCCGCGACGUUGCUUGUUCUUUCGGAUCAUACAUACUGUGCAGUCGGUGAAUAGUUGGGAGCUUCGUGAUGGCGCUGCCCUUUAGCUGUACUGAGCGCGCACGCCGCUUUCCACCUUGAAAGCUCAAUAUGGCGGAGUUGUAACUGGAUAAAGUAAAUGCUGAGGAACAACAUGUUCUGCUGCUGAGAAAUGUGCUGCUAAUAAAGCUUGGCUAUACUUGAUGUGUUUCUGGGCAGUGUCAACAAAGGAGUUUUCAUGAGUUUCAACUGCAAGGAGUUUUCAUGAGCUUUUCAACCACAAGGAGUUUUCAUGAGCUUUUCAACUGCAAGGUAUGCAUAUUAAGUCCUAUGUUCCUGUCCCUUGCCAACAUAAUCAAACUUUUCUGAUGGGGACAUUAGUUUCCUUAUGAAAUUCUGUUUGAUUCCAUCCUAAGGCAGCUACUUGCAACAUUUGGCUUUUUGUAGCUGGAGAUCUUCUUGGGAGUGCAACAUAAGGGCUGGAGUUACAGAUUUUAGUGUCACUUUCACAAGAUAUCGGCUCUGAAAAGAACCUAAUGCUUUGAGCAGCUAUAACAUUUGGAUGGCAUUCCCCUUUACAAACUCAUGUAUUGAACAGAAAGCGCUACACAAUGAUGAGUCUAUCCCGAACCUGACUUUUGAUGACAACUUUUUAACGGAUCUGACUUCUGAGUGUCUGUCUUUAAUUUUAUAACUCCUGUAAAUGAUUGGCGCAAAUGUACUUGGCCUCUAAACAUUUUUCAUAUUUUCUUUGUAGGAAUCAAGCCUUGGGACUUCAUAUAUUAUGGAAAUUAAAAUGGUUUAUUUUACAAAAUAAAGCUUACUUUCCUUGU